rnacentral:rRNA from 1 species
AUUGAACGCUGGCGGCAUGCCUAACACAUGCAAGUCGAGCGAGGGGCGGACGAGUGAGUAAUGUCUGGGAAACUGCCCGAGGGAGGGGGAUGACUACUGGAACCUGUAGCUAAUACCGCGUCCCAUAGGCUGAGCCCAUGGGGGAUUAGGUAGUUGGUGAGGUAAUGGCUCACCAAGCCGACGAUCUCUAGCUGGUCUGAGAGGAUGACCAGCCACACUGGAGCGGGGACACGGACCAGACGCCUACGGUAGGCAGCAGUGGGGAAUAGUGCGCAAUGGGGGCGACCCUUACGCAGCCAUGCCGCGUGAAUGAAGACGGCCUUCGGGUUGUAAAGUUCUUUCGGUAGCGAGGCGUUAACUACAGAAGAAGCACCGGCUAACUCCGUGCCAGCCGCCGCGGUAAUAC